GAUGAACGCUAGCGGGAGGCUUAACACAUGCAAGUCGUGGGGCAGCACGGUGUAGCAAUACACUGGUGGCGACCGGCGCACGGGUGAGUAACGCGUAUGCAACCUGCCCUGUACAGGGGGAUAGCCCGGAGAAAUUCGGAUUAAUACCCCAUGAAGAUAUCGAGAGGCAUCUUUUGAUAUUUAAAGCUUCGGCGGUACGGGAUGGGCAUGCGUGACAUUAGCUAGUUGGUAGGGUAACGGCCUACCAAGGCUUUGAUGUCUAGGGGUCCUGAGAGGGUGUUCCCCCACACUGGUACUGAGACAAGGACCCGACUCCUACGGGAGGCAGCAGUGAGGAAUAUUGGUCAAUGGGCGACAGCCUUAACCAGCCAUCCCGCGUGAAGGAAGAAGGCGCUAUGCGUUGUAAACUUCUUUUCCAGAGGAAUAAAAUUUCGUACGUGUACGGAACUGAAGGUACCCUGGGAAUAAGCAUCGGCUAACUCCGUGCCAGCCGCCGCAGUAAUAC
rnacentral:rRNA from 1 species